GACACACCCAUACAUUAAAGUAUGCAAAACUUAUUGGAGAAUGAAGAAAUAGGGCAAAUCUAGAUUUGUCCCAGGAUAACAUCUCCGCCAGAAACCUUGAAGUCAGAAGGUGCUUCUUCAACAUUCAGAACCUUAACAUUUCCAUCAACUACAUAUGCCGACCACCUAUGCAACAACAAUGAUAAAUAACGGAUUAAUAGAAGAUAGACAGGUUGUUUCCGAUAUAGCCUGAGCUCAAAAGGCCAAGUUAUUCGGAAAAGGAAUGCAAGAAAGUUCAACAAGACUUGAUUAAAACGAGUUAAACAUCUGCACAUUUCUCUGGGAUUAUCAAUUUUGGAAUUGGCAAUUGUUGGAAGUAGAAU
rnacentral:lncRNA from 1 species